rnacentral:rRNA from 1 species
UGAGGAAUAUUGGUCAAUGGGCGCGAGCCUGAACCAGCCAAGUAGCGUGAGGGAUGACUGCCCUAUGGGUUGUAAACCUCUUUUGAUUGGGAACAAAGAGCGCCACGUGUGGUGCGUUGCGUGUACCUUUCGAAUAAGCAUCGGCUAAUUCCGUGCCAGCAGCCGCGGUAAUACGGAAGAUGCGAGCGUUAUCCGGAUUUAUUGGGUUUAAAGGGAGCGUAGGCGGGCUGUUAAGUCAGCGGUCAAAUGUCAGGGCCCAACCUUGGCAUGCCGUUGAUACCG